rnacentral:rRNA from 1 species
CCUACGGGAGGCAGCAGUGAGGAAUAUUGGUCAAUGGACGAGAGUCUGAACCAGCCAAGUAGCGUGAAGGAUGACUGCCCUAUGGGUUGUAAACUUCUUUUAUAUGGGAAUAAAAUGUUCCACGUGUGGGAUUUUGUAUGUACCAUAUGAAUAAGGAUCGGCUAACUCCGUGCCAGCAGCCGCGGUAAUACGGAGGAUCCGAGCGUUAUCCGGAGUUAUUGGGUUUAAAGGGAGCGUAGGUGGAUUGUUAAGUCAGUUGUGAAAGUUUGCGGCUCAACCGUAAAAUUGCAGUUGAAACUGGCAGUCGUGAGUACAGUAGAGGUGGGCGGAAUUCGUGGUGUAGCGGUGAAAUGCUUAGAUAUCACGAAGAACUCCGAUUGCGAAGGCAGCUCACUGGACUGCAACUGACACUGAGGCUCGAAAGUGUGGGUAUCAAACAGGAUUAGAUACCCGAGUAGUG